rnacentral:misc_RNA from 1 species
CGCCGCCCGAAUCCGGCCUCUGGCAGUGGAAUCGGUGUUGGGGCUUUGCGCGGGGCUCUUGGCAGCCCCGCGGCCCUGAAAUCCAGUGGCGGCUCCUCGGGGAACCCUCAGCGCAGUAACAUACCCUGCCGCUCUGGAACCUUGUGGGAGACCUGCCGUAAAACCCGUUCUCUCAGAACACAUUUACU